GCACGACUUACACAAGGCCAAGCUGUAGUUAUAUACUGGAUUUCAUUAGGUUCUGGUGGCUUCAGAAGCACAGGAAGGACCUCUGAAGCACUUAGGAACUGCUGACAGGAUAUUAGCCCUGUGCAGAAGGAAGACAAAAGAGAUACACAGUGGCGGUGCCAUUUCUGUGAAGAGAGCCUGAGUCCUCAUCAUCACAAAGUAGCUGUUACUGGCACUAACAGCACAGAUUUCUCUGCUGCUGUUUAUUGAAAUGAAAUACACACAGUGACUGAAAAAUCAGGCUUGCAGCCCACGUGCCCUCUCUAUCUCCCCAGGACAUGAAGGCACACUAUGGGAAGGGCUGGGCUCGACUCCUGGGCAGCGAGAAACAGAGACCCUGGGUAGGGAGGUUGCAAGAAAGGGCAUGUGGGUUACUGCGAUGGAGAGCGACUCCUGUCUGCUAGGUGAGAUGCUGUCCUCAGGAAAUGAAGCUAAACUGAAGCAAGUUUUGUAUCUCCCUCCUGCAGAAGAUCUUCGACUUUAUUUGUUAUCAGUGAAAGCGGUGUUGCACAACAGUGCCAUCCGAGUUGCAAUAAGCAGGGUGGCUGCCAGGCAAAUCAAAUCCAGCACCAUAUCUUCUUCUGAUGAGUCACUUCCAGUCUUCUUCCAAGGGAGCAGAGGGUGCAGGCAGCUCCUCCGUGGGGUUUCUGAAGGUUGUGUUUGGAGUGUGGUGGUUAUGCCCAGCUGGACUUGAACAGAGCCCCACCACACCACAGGUAUAUGUGGGCAUGAUGCCUUCUCAUAGAGACAUUUAGUUGCUGGAUUAUAACACUGCUACUGUAGAAAAUUUCCUGCUGCUCUUGCAGUUCUUUGGAUGUUCACAGAUUGCAUAUGAAGAUCCUGGGAUAUCUUGUACUUUUCUUUAGAAGCUUUGUGGACUUAAAGAGGUGAGAUCCAGAAAUCUAAGAAGCCUGGGAGCUGGUCCUCAUGCACUAAAUCUGGGCAGUGCUACCAUUUUUCUUUCGGUAUAUCGUGGCCAACUAACCCUCAACUACAGGCAGUUAAAAAAGACAGAAAGUUUUCCACAGUGUUCCAAAGCAUACAGAAAUAUGCAGUCGUGCUACUCUAACCAAGAAGUCCAUGACAGGAGAGCUCCCAGCUUCGUCUAAGGACCAGCUGCAGGCCCCUCUUGGGCACCUUCUUCCUACUGACUAGCUCAUCUAAACCGGGCUUGAACAAGGCAGCCACAGAGCACCUGAUGAACCUACUGAGUGACUGUUAUCACUGAGCUUCUGUGUUCAUUGUUAUUUGGACUUGAGUUGUCUAACGAACUAUUUUUGGGUUUAUGCUGGUCAGCUGAGGUCUUCAGCUGAUGCUGAUCAAGGAUCAUAAAGGAGAACUAUGCAGCAAGUCAGAGAGAUGUGUAUGCUGAAAGUCAUCUGGGAUUUGGGAGCCUGCCAAAAAUAACGUUUCAGAGGACAUGUAUAACACUGCCAAAAUCAAGCUGAUGAAUUGCUGUAUCAUUGAAUUUGGAUGCAGAAUGGGGGUCAAGUUCAGAGCAGUCUAGCAGUGGGCUGUUCACCAACCGAAGCAGGAUGGGACCAGGACAUUUUGUAAUUAACACAAAUUAAAAGGAACUUACUUAGCCUGGUUUCAUCUAAAAUGCAGCAGAGGGAGGGCAGAGAGGAAUUAAAUUUGGAAGGUAGAUGACUAGGCAGUUCCAGAGCUUAUCUGAACAUUUGGGAGUUACGUCUAGUUAGGCACUGUGAAACAAGGAAGGAAAAUGUUGAUAGCCAGCCUGGAAUCUAUACACAUGUAGGAAUUGGCUCUGCAACACUAGUUUACUCCUCUCUUCCAGUAGCAUAUUUUUUUUCAUGCUUAAUAUUAAUUUGAAGCACAAGAAUAGUCUGAAGAUGAAAUACUGCAUGCUGUUUUUCCCAAAUGUGAGAGGAGUUUACGUUUAAGUAAUGAAGCUUAGUUAUGAAAGCACACAGCUUUGCAUUUCAUCUUUUACUGAAGAAUCUUAUCUCCCUUUGCAACAGACAAGUGAUGGAGCAAGAAGCAUGUCAGUUUUUCCUAUCUGGAGAAAGACAGCAAAAUAAAACUGAGAUCUGGUACAGAAGAUGUCAGAUCUUGGCUGAGUGCCCUCCCCUCCUAACUUUUGCUCUUCGCUUCCAUUUAUAUUCUUCUCUUUAACCAGUGGGUGCUUUCCCAUUGCUUUUUGACUGACAGGGUUUUUUAAUAUUUUUUUUUUUUAUGGCAAGUUACUUUUGGCUCAAGGCAGUUUUGACUGGUUUCAUAAUCAAAGGCUGUGUGACCAAAAGAGAACUGCAGAUAAGUCAG
ensembl:lncRNA